rnacentral:tmRNA from 1 species
GGGCGUCAUACUCUGGUGGCUGGUCCUGAACCCGGCCUCGGGGUGAGGGGCGAGAUCUUUUGAGGCUGGCGGCCCGGGGAUCCUGUCGGCAGGAGCCUCGGGUGGCGAGAUUGAAAAUACCGACUACGGAUGUAGAAGCCUGCCGCUGAGGGUUUCCGGACGAGGGUUCGAUACCCUCCACCUCCACCA